rnacentral:rRNA from 1 species
CUGGAGGUAUCAGAAGUGCGAAUGCUGACAUAAGUAACGAUAAAGCGGGUGAAAAGCCCGCUCGCCGGAAGACCAAGGGUUCCUGUCCAACGUUAAUCGGGGCAGGGUGAGUCGACCCCUAAGGCGAGGCCGAAAGGCGUAGUCGAUGGGAAACGGGUUAAUAUUCCCGUACUUGGUGUUACUGCGAAGGGGGGACGGAGAAGGCUAUGUUGGCCGGGCGACGGUUGUCCCGGUUUAAGCGUGUAGGUGUGUGUUCCAGGUAAAUCCGGUUCACUUUAACACUGAGGCGUGACGACGAGGCACUACGGUGCUGAAGCAACAAAUGCCCUGCUUCCAGGAAAAGCCUCUAAGCAUCAGGUAACAUCAAAUCGUACCCCAAACCGACACAGGUGGUCAGGUAGAGAAUACCAAGGCGCUUGAGAGAACUCGGGUGAAGGAACUAGGCAAAAUGGUGCCGUAACUUCGGGAGAAGGCACGCUGACACGUAGGUGAAGUGAUUUACUCAUGGAGCUGAAGUCAGUCGAAGAUACCAGCUGGCUGCAACUGUUUAUUAAAAACACAGCACUGUGCAAACACGAAAGUGGACGUAUACGGUGUGACGCCUGCCCGGUGCCGGAAGGUUAAUUGAUGGGGUCAGCGCAAGCGAAGCUCCUGAUCGAAGCCCCGGUAAACGGCGGCCGUAACUAUAACGGUCCUAAGGUAGCGAAAUUCCUUGUCGGGUAAGUUCCGACCUGCACGAAUGGCGUAAUGAUGGCCAGGCUGUCUCCACCCGAGACUCAGUGAAAUUGAACUCGCUGUGAAGAUGCAGUGUACCCGCGGCAAGACGGAAAGACCCCGUGAACCUUUACUAUAGCUUGACACUGAACAUUGAGCCUUGAUGUGUAGGAUAGGUGGGAGGCUUUGAAGUGUGGACGCCAGUCUGCAUGGAGCCGACCUUGAAAUACCACCCUUUAAUGUUUGAUGUUCUAACGUGGACCCGUGAUCCGGGUUGCGGACAGUGUCUGGUGGGUAGUUUGACUGGGGCGGUCUCCUCCUAAAGAGUAACGGAGGAGCACGAAGGUUGGCUAAUCCUGGUCGGACAUCAGGAGGUUAGUGCAAUGGCAUAAGCCAGCUUGACUGCGAGCGUGACGGCGCGAGCAGGUGCGAAAGCAGGUCAUAGUGAUCCGGUGGUUCUGAAUGGAAGGGCCAUCGCUCAACGGAUAAAAGGUACUCCGGGGAUAACAGGCUGAUACCGCCCAAGAGUUCAUAUCGACGGCGGUGUUUGGCACCUCGAUGUCGGCUCAUCACAUCCUGGGGCUGAAGUAGGUCCCAAGGGUAUGGCUGUUCGCCAUUUAAAGUGGUACGCGAGCUGGGUUUAGAACGUCGUGAGACAGUUCGGUCCCUAUCUGCCGUGGGCGCUGGAGAACUGAGGGGGGCUGCUCCUAGUACGAGAGGACCGGAGUGGACGCAUCACUGGUGUUCGGGUUGUCAUGCCAAUGGCACUGCCCGGUAGCUAAAUGCGGAAGAGAUAAGUGCUGAAAGCAUCUAAGCACGAAACUUGCCCCGAGAUGAGUUCUCCCUGAGACUUAAAGUCUCCUGAAGGAACGUUGAAGACGACGACGUUGAUAGGCCGGGUGUGUAAGCGCAGCGAUGCGUUGAGCUAACCGGUACUAAUGAACCGUGAGGCUUAACCUU